rnacentral:misc_RNA from 1 species
AAAUGCGAUAAUUAAUGUGAAUUGCAGAAUUCAGUGAAUCAUCGAGUCUUUGAACGCACAUUGCGCCCCCUGGUAUUCCGGGGGGCAUGCCUGUCCGAGCGUCAUUGCUGCCCUCAAGCACGGCUUGUGUGUUGGGCUUCCGUCCCUGGCAACGGGGACGGGCCCAAAAGGCAGUGGCGGCACCAUGUCUGGUCCUCGAGCGUAUGGGACUUUGUCACCCGCUCCCGUAGGUCCAGCUGGCAGCUAGCCUCGCAACCAAUCUUUUUAACCAGGUUGACCUCGGAUCAGGUAGGGAUACCCGCUGAACUUAAGC